rnacentral:lncRNA from 1 species
GGGGGGGAGUUUUUAGCUGCCACUAUAUGUAAUGCUAAAAUUGAAAGAAAAAAAUUGUAAGAAAAAAAUUGUUUUCCACUUGUCAAAAAGAAAAUAGAUUGUUUUUCGCUGAAGGCACAAAAAAAAGUUAGUCCAGUAAAAAAAUUUCAUAGCCCCCGCCCCAGAAAACCAAAUGGUUGCUGUCUAAAGAGCCUGUGUUGCUCACCU